UGUCUCAUGGCCAAGCGGUAAGGCGCUUGACUGUUAGGCAUCUGUGACACAGGUGGAUUAAUUCAUAUAUCAAGAGAUCGGGAGUUCGAUCCUCCCUGAGACAG
rfam:Kwoniella mangroviensis CBS 10435 unplaced genomic scaffold supercont2.1, whole genome shotgun sequence.